rnacentral:rRNA from 1 species
UACGGAGGGUGCAAGCGUUGUUCGGAAUUACUGGGCGUAAAGAGCGUGUAGGCGGUCGGGAAAGUCAGAUGUGAAAGCCCUGGGCUCAACCCAGGAAGUGCAUUUGAAACUUCCUAACUAGAGUAUGGGAGAGGAGAGUGGAAUUCCCAGUGUAGAGGUGAAAUUCGUAGAUAUUGGGAGGAACACCGGUGGCGAAGGCGACUCUCUGGACCAAUACUGACGCUGAGACGCGAAAGCGUGGGGAGCAAACAGG